rnacentral:rRNA from 1 species
CGAGCGGAGUGAUGGUGCUUGCACUAUCACUUAGCGGCGGACGGGUGAGUAAUGCUUAGGAAUCUGCCUAUUAGUGGGGGACAACAUCUCGAAAGGGAUGCUAAUACCGCAUACGUCCUACGGGAGAAAGCAGGGGAUCACUUGUGACCUUGCGCUAAUAGAUGAGCCUAAGUCGGAUUAGCUAGUUGGUGGGGUAAAGGCCUACCAAGGCGACGAUCUGUAGCGGGUCUGAGAGGAUGAUCCGCCACACUGGGACUGAGACACGGCCCAGACUCCUACGGGAGGCAGCAGUGGGGAAUAUUGGACAAUGGGGGGAACCCUGAUCCAGCCAUGCCGCGUGUGUGAAGAAGGCCUUAUGGUUGUAAAGCACUUUAAGCGAGGAGGAGGCUCUUUUGGUUAAUACCCAGGAUGAGUGGACGUUACUCGCAGAAUAAGCACCGGCUAACUCUGUGCCAGCAGCCGCGGUAAUACAGAGGGUGCAAGCGUUAAUCGGAUUUACUGGGCGUAAAGCGCGCGUAGGCGGCCAAUUAAGUCAAAUGUGAAAUCCCCGAGCUUAACUUGGGAAUUGCAUUCGAUACUGGUUGGCUAGAGUGUGGGAGAGGAUGGUAGAAUUCCAGGUGUAGCGGUGAAAUGCGUAGAGAUCUGGAGGAAUACCGAUGGCGAAGGCAGCCAUCUGGCCUAACACUGACGCUGAGGUGCGAAAGCAUGGGGAGCAAACAGGAUUAGAUACCCUGGUAGUCCAUGCCGUAAACGAUGUCUACUAGCC